UCAAAGGCUCCUUUAGGAGCCAAAACAGAGAGGGACAGGUUUUUAUU
rfam:Oryzias latipes DNA, scaffold767, strain: Hd-rR.